AACGAACGCUGGCGGCGUGCCUAACACAUGCAAGUCGAACGAAGAUAGGAAGCUUGCUUUUUAUUUUAGUGGCGCACGGGUGAGUAACGCGUGGAUGAUCUGCCUGAUGCUCUGGGAUAACAUUUCGAAAGGGGUGCUAAUACCGGAUAAGCCCACGGGGUCUUAGGAUCUUGCGGGAAAAGGAGGGGACCUUCGGGCCUUCCGACAUCAGAUGAGUCCGCGUACCAUUAGCUAGUUGGUAGUGUAAAGGACUACCAAGGCGACGAUGGUUAGCUGGUCUGAGAGGAUGAUCAGCCACACUGGAACUGAGACACGGUCCAGACUCCUACGGGAGGCAGCAGUGGGGAAUUUUGCGCAAUGGGGGAAACCCUGACGCAGCAACGCCGCGUGAGUGAUGAAGGCCUUCGGGUCGUAAAGCUCUGUCAGAGGGAAAGAAAUGUGGGUGGCUAAUAUCCAUACCACUUGACGGUACCCUCAAAGGAAGCACCGGCUAACCCCGUGCCAGCCGCCGCGGUAAGAC
rnacentral:rRNA from 1 species